rnacentral:rRNA from 1 species
UUUUUCUGGUGGGGGAUGGGCUCGCGGCCUAUCAGCUUGUUGGUGGGGUGAUGGCCUACCAAGGCUUUGACGGGUAACCGGCCUGAGAGGGUGACCGGUCACAUUGGGACUGAGAUACGGCCCAGACUCCUACGGGAGGCAGCAGUGGGGAAUUUUGCACAAUGGGCGCAAGCCUGAUGCAGCGACGCCGCGUGAGGGAUGAAGGCCUUCGGGUUGUAAACCUUUUUCGCUCAUGGUCAAGCCGCAGCUUUGGGUUGUGGUGAGGGUAGUGGGUAAAGAAGCGCCGGCUAACUACGUGCCAGCAGCCGCGGUAAUACGUAGGGCGCGAGCGUUGUCCGGAAUUAUUGGGCGUAAAGGGCUUGUAGGCGGUUGGCCGCGUCUGCCGUGAAAUCCUCUGGCUUAACUGGGGGCGUGCGGUGGGUACGGGUUGACUUGAGUGCGGUAGGGGAGACUGGAAUUCCUGGUGUAGCGGUGGAAUGCGCAGAUAUCAGGAGGAACACCGGUGGCGAAGGCGGGUCUCUGGGCCGUUACUGACGCUGAGGAGCGAAAGCGUGGGGAGCGAACAGGAUUAGAUACCCUGGUAGUCCACGCUGUAAACGUUGGGCACUAGGUGUGGGGGCCACCCGUGGUUUCUGCGCCGUAGCUAACGCUUUAAGUGCCCCGCCUGGGGAGUACGGUCGCAAG